UACGUAGGGUGCGAGCGUUGUCCGGAAUUAUUGGGCGUAAAGGGCUCGUAGGCGGUUUGUCGCGUCGGGAGUGAAAACCAGGUGCUUAACACCUGGCUUGCUUUCGAUACGGGCAGACUAGAGGUAUUCAGGGGAGAACGGAAUUCCUGGUGUAGCGGUGGAAUGCGCAGAUAUCAGGAGGAACACCGGUGGCGAAGGCGGGUCUCUGGGCAGUAACUGACGCUGAGGAGCGAAAGCGUGGGGAGCGAACAGG
rnacentral:rRNA from 1 species